rnacentral:rRNA from 1 species
AAUCAACGCUGGCGGCGUGCCUCAGACAUGCAAGUCGAACGAUUAAAGCUCUCUUCGGAGAGUGCAUAGAGUGGCGCACGGGUGAGUAACACGUAAGUAAUCUACCUUCGAGGUGGGAAUAACGUCCGGAAACGGGCGCUAAUACCGCAUAAUGCAGCGGCAUCGCAAGAUGACAGUUGUUAAAGGAGCAAUCCGCUUGAAGAGGAGCUUGCGGCAGAUUAGCUAGUUGGUAGGUAAUGGCCUACCAAGGCUACGAUCUGUAACCGGUCUUAGAGGACGGUCGGUCACACUGACACUGAAUAACGGGUCAGACUCCUACGGGAGGCAGCAGUCGGGAAUUUUGGGCAAGUGGGGGAAACCCUGACCCAGCAACGCCGCGUGAAGGAUGAAGUAUUUCGGUAUGUAAACUUCGAAAGAAUAGGAAGAAUUAAUGACGGUACUAUUUAUAAGGUCCGGCUAACUACGUGCCAGCAGCCGCGGUAAUGUCGA